rnacentral:snRNA from 1 species
UGGUAUGAGUGUCACUUAACUGUGACAUCUGUCACCCCACUGGUCACCAGGGAUGAUUCAGCACAUCUGACUGCAAAGAGGAUGUUCCCAUCCUCCCUCCCUUCCCCACAUCUAUUUCUUCAAGAGCUGCAUGUUCAUUUAAAUAGGACAACAUUCCAUAGUACAGAAUCAUUCUUCAACUGAGGUUAUAGGAACCUCCCCUGUUGGAAGGUUUAAACAGGGUUUCUAUCCAGUAUACUUUAAAGGAUAUUUAUAAUUGGCCUUCAUAACAGAAUGUUGCAUGUGGAGAUUUUU